UCCGGAUUGGUGUAGUGGUUAACAUCGCUGUCUCUCACACAGCAGCCCCUGGUUCGAUUCCUGGAUCCGGAA
rfam:Exophiala dermatitidis NIH/TT8656 unplaced genomic scaffold supercont1.2, whole genome shotgun sequence.